UGGUUUCCCAUAGUAAUUCUGCGCCAGAUGGUAUUGUCACUAUGAGUCAAGUAACAAGCAGUUUGUUGAAUGAGGAGUUGAGAAGAAAGAGUUCAGCAACAUCUCAGAAUGAUUCACAGGCACUUAUCUCAGAGAACAGAGGAAGGUCAAAGUCUAGAAGCAGUUCACGUAUGGGUAGGAGCAAGUCAAGAUCAAGAAAAGAUAUUGUUUGCUAUAACUGUGGUGAGAAAGGACAUUACAAGAACCAAUGUAAGCAACCUAAGAAGAACAAGAAAAAGGGAAAAGAAUUGGAGUCUACAGAGUUAAAGGAUAAUACUACAGCUACAGUGCAGGGUGGUGAUUAUUUGAUUUUGUCUCCUUCUG
rnacentral:lncRNA from 1 species